AUGUUCUGUUAAUCCCUUGGCUUAGGUAGUUCUAGAAUCUAUUCUGUUUUUCUUCUAACUGUACUUUUCAACCCAGCUGUUAUGAACGUCACCUCCUCCUGUUACUAUUAAUAUAUUUCUACAGAUAUUUAGAGCCCCUUCACCUCAUACCUUAUUUGUCUCUCUUUUACAGCCCUUUACUUUCCCAAGUCAGUAAAUUUGCGUCAAGCUUCCCUUUGCCUUGGGGGCAAAUGUCCAAAAUGCUGCCAGGGGUUACAUGGUAGCUCUAUGUUUAGUUUCUUAAGGAACUUCCAUACUCUUCUCCAUAGUGGCUGCACCAAUUUACAUUCCCACUAACAGUGCAUGAGGGUUCCCUUUUCUCCACACCCUCUCCAGCAUUUAUUGUUCGUAGACUUUUUGACAAUGGCCCCACUGACUGGCGUGAGAUGAUACUUGUAGUUUUGAUUUGCAUUUCCUUAAUGCUGAGCGAUGUUGAGCAUAUUUUCAUGUGCCUUUUGGCCAUCUGUAUGCCUUCUUUGGAGAAAUGUUUAUUUAGGUCUUCUGCCCAUUUAUUGAUUGGGUGGGGUUUUUUUAUAUUGAGUCCCAUGGGCUAUUUGUAAAUUUUGGAGACUAAUCCCUUAUCAGUAGCAUCAUUUGCAAUUUUUUCCUCCCAUUCUGUGGGCUGGCUCUUCAUUUUGUUUAUGGUUUCCUUUGCUGUGCCAAAAUUAGAUCCCAUUUGUUUGUUUUAUUUCCAUUACUCUAGGAGACAAACCAAAAAAAGAUAUAUUGUUGCAAUUUAUGUCAAAGGCAAAACAUUCUGCCUAUGUUUUCCUCUAAGAAUUGCAUGAUAUCUGGUCUUACAUUUAGGUCUUUAAUCCAUUUUGUUUUUGUGUACAGUGUUAAGAAAUGUUCUAAUUUUUUUUACAUGUAGCUGUCCAGUUUUCCCAGCAGCGUUUAUUGAAGAGAUUGUAUUUCCUCCAAUGUAUAUUCUUGCCUCCUUUGCCACAAACUGACCACAGGAACCUGGGUUUACUGCUGGGCUUUCUAUCCUGUUCAGGUGAGCUCUAUUUUUGUGUUUGGGCCGAUAUCAUUCUGUUGCUUUACAAUGUAGUCUGAAGUCAGGGAGCUUGAUUCCUCCAACUGUUUUUCUUUCUGAAGACUGCUUUGACUAUUCAAGGUUGGUUGUGUCUUCAUAAACAUUUUAAGAUUUUUUUGUUCUGGUUCUAUGAAAAAUACCAUUGGCAAUUUGAUAAAGAUUGUAUUGAAUCUGUAAUUGCCUUGAGUAGUAUAGUCAUUUUGAUAAUAUUGAUUCUUUCAGUCCAGGAACAUGGUUUCUAUUUCCAUCUGUACUUGUCAUCUUUGGUUUCUUUCAUCAGCAUCUUAUAGUUUUCAGAGUACAGUUCUUUUGCCCUUAUUAGGUAGGCUGAUUCCUAGGUAUUUUGUUCUUUUCAAUGCAACAGUAAAUGGAUUGUUUAAUUUCUCCUUAUUAUCUUUUUUUGUUAGUGUAUAGAAAUGCAACAGAUUUCUGUGUAUGAAUUUUGUAUCUUGCAACUUUACCAAAUUCAGUGAUGAGCUUUACUACUUCUCUGGUAGCAUCUUUAGGAUUUUCUGUGUAUGAUAUCAUGUCAUUCACAAGCAGUAACAGUUUUACUUCUUCUAUGCGGUUGCUGGAAUGUAAGUUGGUACAGCCACUAUGGAGAAUGUAUGGAUAUUCCUUAAGAAACUAAAAAUAGAGCUACUAUAUGAUCUUGCAAGUCCACUCCUGGGCAUAUAUCUAGAGAAAACCAUAUCUGAAAUGUUCAUGCACCCCAAUGUUCAUUGUAGUGCUAUUUAUAGUAGCUAAGACAUGGAAGCAACCUAAAAUCUGUCAACAGAUGAAUGGAUAGAGAAGAUAUGGUAUAUUUAUACAAUGAAAUAUUAGUCAUUAAAAAGAAUGAAAUAAUGCCAUUUUCAGCAACAUGGAUGGAAUCUAGAGAUUAUCAUACUAAGUGAAGUUAGAGAAAGACAAAUAUGAUAUCACUAUAUGAAGAAUCUUAAAAAAUGAUACAAAUGAACUUAUUUACAAACUGAAACAGACUCACAGACUUAGAAUAUUUAACAAUAGCUUUAAGUUCAUUCUCUAAUUAUGUUGACAUUAUUUAAAAUGGAACUCUCUUCUUAAAUUCCUUUUGAGGGUAUUCCUUGGUAGUUUAUAAAACUAAAAGAUUUUGUGUACUAAUAUUUUGUAUUGUAAAUUUGUGUAUUUGAUAACUAGCUGAAGUUAUGCUUUAAAUUUAUAUGCGUGCUAAAUUGCUUCAGUCGUGUCCAACUCUUUGCAACCCCAUGAUUGCAGCCUGCCAGGCUCUUUGGUCCAUAGGAUUUUCCCAGGCAAGAAUACUGAAGUGGGCUGCCAUUUCCUUCUACAGAGGAUCUUCCCCACCCAGGAAUUGAACCUGAGUCACUUACGUCUCCUGCACUGGCAUUGAAAGGCAGAGGACAUGAUUCCAAGAGCAAAGAAUCAACCCCUCAAGUACCCAUCAGUGCUGCAACAUACCUGAUCACUCAGAGUUGGGAAUAAAUCCACCUUCAAAAAUCUGAAUGCCACCACAGGCAUAACUGAAGCCACUGUUGUUAAGAGAAUAACAAGCCAGAUGCACUUCUGGGUCAAGGAAUGUCGUGCAUUUCCUAUUAUUAAAGAAAAAUAAACACUGUGGUUAUAAAUCGGA